GUUCUGGUGCUCGCACAUUUGUCUGAUGUGCAGUUAAACGGGAAACACGAAGCCGCAAGUUUCGGCCAACGUGUGCUGCCCCCGCAACGGUAAGCAGGUGUUCCGAUGAGGGAACACGCCGUCCAUCCGCGCCACUGUGCCUUGUGCAUGGGAAGGCAGGACGGCCGGUUUCGGUGAGAUACCGAAAACCUGUAGCCCGGAUACCGGCCCGAAC
rnacentral:ncRNA from 1 species